rnacentral:sRNA from 1 species
GCCAGAACAGAAGUUUGCAGUAGCGCUGGAAGCGAACGAACGAAAAGUGCGCUGAGGCGGGGACCUUCUGAAAGGGGAGCGGAGAGCACUUUAGAAAUGUGUGGUAUGGAAGGACUUAGAGUUCUGAGACAUGAUUCCACUAUGGCCAGUCAAAGGUCUGAUCGUGGUUCAGCUGUGGCCCGCCAAAGAUCGGAUCUGGCAGUAAUGGGUUUCCGAGGUCUCUGCUGUGCAGCUUGUGCCUCAUCUAAUCGAUGCUCUGCUGCACAGCCCCCGAUGGUGAGCUUCUGUGGCUGUUUCUUGGUCUUUAGCGGUAUUCUCCUGCUCACUGAACAUUGCUCCGCCUUUUGGAUACACAUACGGUGCUCUUUUUCCCUCAUGUAUCCAGACUGAUCCAGAACUCAUUCUGCCUCUAGAGUGGUGAGAUUCCAGGUGUGCGCCACCCUUCCUGCCUACACCUUCUCCUUCAGUUCAACCUCCACGAACUUGGAGACGAUCACCGAUCACCGGCACAGCAGCCGACUUCCCAGAAUCACCCCAACUCUGGGCUGUGUGAAGACCUGUGUUAGGAUUCUCAGAACCCAUGCCAAGAAACCGGAGGCAGAGCCUGAAAAAUUCCCAAAAGCCCCUGAGCCAGCUCACCUGGUGCACACAGCCAGAGACAAGAGAUCCUGCCACAGCCAUGGUGGAAAACAAGGGCUGCUGCACAAGGUGCUCCUCUGAACUGCACAUACCAGAUAUGUGUACCUGCAUUUGCAAAUGUGAACACACGCCCCUCUUGCAUACAUACACAUGCAUGCAUACACACACACACAAGAUAAAAAUAAAUGAUAAUAAAUGAAUAAAACAUUGUUAUAAAAAACACCUGAGACGCGUGGAUUUAAAGGUUUCAGUCUCUGGUUAGUAAUCGCUGGGGUCUGAGGCGAGGCCUCAUGGAAGAACAUGUGGUAGAGCAAACCAUCACUCACAGGCGGGCGGUGUGCGAUAGAAAAGAGAUGGUCUCUCACAGCUCCCUUCAAAGUCACAUGGCCAGCGAUCAGAAGACCUCCUGCUAGACCCCGCUUCCCAAACUUCUUAGCACCUCUCAACAGGACAAAGCCUCUCACACCAGGGCAGCCACAGCCCCUGUGUGCCACAGUAAAGCUUCUAUGCAGUAAUUGACUGUGCUUCAAGCACCUGUGGUGCACGUAGGUGGCUUUGUCGGGCUCAAACAGAGAGAUUUUUCAUUUCCAUCUGCAUGUGACAAGCAACCUUAAACACGUGGCACCUCCUGGGAACUGGGGGAUCAGUAGGGUAAAGUGACAAAAUCAAGUCUAGCUCAUGUGUGCCUGAAAGACGGGCAACUGGAUGCCCCAAAAUGGCUAUGUCAUCAUAGUGGCAGGGUGUGGGUGGAUCACUUCCCCUACUACGUUCUCACGGCUGGGUUGGAUGUGAGCUGCAGUGAGUUCUAUAGUAUUUACAGUAAAGCACUUCACAGCCACUCGCCCCAUCCAUGUGUCCCCUGGAUCUUCCAUCCAUCCCUUAACACCUUCUACAGUGUUCCGAUGGUUGGGGGUGAGGGGGGAAGAUGCUAAAACCGCUAUCUUUCAAAAUGUAUUCUUUCUAGCUGUGGUCAAAAUCUCUGUCUGAUAAGAGCCAGGCUGCCUGUGGUGGUCUUUGUUUCUGA